rnacentral:rRNA from 1 species
CAGUUAUCGUUUAUUUGAUAGUACCUCACUACUUGGAUAACCGUGGUAAUUCUAGAGCUAAUACAUGCUAAAAACCCCGACUCCGGAAGGGGUGUAUUUAUUAGAUAAAAAACCAAUGCCCUCCGGGGCUCCUUGGUGAUUCAUAGUAACUCAACGAAUCGCAUGGCCUUGCGCCGGCGAUGGUUCAUUCAAAUUUCUGCCCUAUCAACUUUCGAUGGUAGGAUAGUGGCCUACCAUGGUGGCAACGGGUAGCGACGGUUUCCCUGUUGCCCGUGCGGAAUUGGGUCGGGCGGGCCUCCGGCCUGGCCCCGGCGACAUCACUGGUUCAGAAGACACCCCUCGGCGGCUGGGGGGCUGAUUCUGAGGCGAGCACCUUCGGUGGUGCCGUUUCAACGCAUGCGAAGUGGUGGGCUCCCCUCAGCAUGGGGGGUUUCAGAUACAUGCUGACCGCCUGGCUUCCGGCUAGGCCCGGUAACUGAACGGGGAAUUAGGGUUCGAUUCCGGAGAGGGAGCCUGAGAAACGGCUACCACAUCCAAGGAAGGCAGCAGGCGCGCAAAUUACCCAAUCCCGACACGGGGAGGUAGUGACAAUAAAUACUGAUACAGGGCUCUUUUGGGUCUUGUAAUUGGAAUGAGUACAAUUUAAAUCCCUUAAACGAGGAACAAUUGGAGGGCAAGUCUGGUGGGCGACAGCUGACGCCAGACGGUAACGUCGGUGGGGAACUCCCCGAGGAGUUUUCUGCCAGGCACCCGGCACGGGGAACGGGCACUUUCUGCCCAAAUCCCGUGGUGGGAGCGUCCCCGGUCUUCGGGGUCUCCUGCCGUAACGCAUGGUAGGGUGCCGGCGGCGCGUCCAGCCGCUUGAGGGACAUGCUAUUCAGGCCCGCAAGGGCGAGACCAGCUCCGGGCUCCGGGGUGACCCUACUGUAUUUAGGCCAGCAGCCGCGGUAAUUCCAGCUCCAAUAGCGUAUAUUAAAGUUGUUGCAGUUAAAAAGCUCGUAGUUGAACCUUGGGCCUGGCUGACCGGUCCGCCUCACAGCGUGCACUGGUUCGGCCGGGCCUUUCUUUCUGGGAAGCCGCAUGCCCUUCACUGGGUGUGCCGAGGAACCAGGACUUUUACUUUGAAAAAAUUAGAGUGUUCAAAGCAGGCCUAUGCUCGAAUACAUUAGCAUGGAAUAAUAGAAUAGGACGCGUGGUUCUAUUUUGUUGGUUUCUAGGACCGCCGUAAUGAUUAAUAGGGAUAGUCGGGGGCAUCAGUAUUCAAUUGUCAGAGGUGAAAUUCUUGGAUUUAUUGAAGACUAACUACUGCGAAAGCAUUUGCCAAGGAUGUUUUCAUUAAUCAGUGAACGAAAGUUAGGGGAUCGAAGACGAUUAGUCCCUGGGUCGCCAGGGGACACACUCCGGGUGUCCGGUCGUCCAUAGCCAGAAACUAGUCUGAACGGAGUGUUCGGGCGACACUAUUCAACUGUGGGGUCCCUAGGUUUCGUCUCGAAGCUUAGGUCACCUAAAGCCAAGUCCGGGGUCGAGGUCUGCUCUCUGACCGACUGCCCUGGACGCAGUUUACAGACUGAAUGACAGUGGGCCGGGGCUUCUUCGCGAGCCGUCACCCGGUUUCUGAUAUAGUCGAGUCCCGGCACGGGAGUGCUUUGGGAAUCACGCAGAUACCGUCGUAGUCUUAACCAUAAACUAUGCCGACUAGGGAUCGGACGGUGUUAUUAUUUUGACCCGUUCGGCACCUUACGAGAAAUCAAAGUCUUUGGGUUCUGGGGGGAGUAUGGUCGCAAGGCUGAAACUUAAAGAAAUUGACGGAAAGGCACCACCAGGCGUGGAGCCUGCGGCUUAAUUUGACUCAACACGGGGAAACUCACCAGGUUAACUUUGGACGGUUACGUCUGGGCUUGGGAAUGUAGUUCGAGUAGAAAUACUGGAUUGCCAGUGCCGCUGAUGCGGUGCGACACCUGCUGGUACAAGGAAUAUCUCCCCUGCUGCCUGCAGUAGACGAUUGACCUUGUGGUGAGCUUGCUCUGCAAGCCAUCGCAACGCGCGCCAAGCGGUGGGCCGGUCCUUCAGGAACGGCUGAUGUAUGUGCUAAUCCCGUAGGAAACUAUGCCCUGGCGAUGAUGUUGAUUAUCAACCGAGUCGUGUAGGGGUCUUUCGUAGACGGAACGAGGAACUGUUUCAAAGGGAGAACCUCUCUGUAUAUUAGAAAUCGAGGUGGUUGGUUGGAGUCGUGUCGGAGUGGUUCUACUGUCGCAAAACUACAAUUAAUCUAGCCGGGUCGCAAUUGUUCUGCUGAAAAAUUGCUGGUUCGAUCUCCAAUACACUCGGAUCCUCCGAAGCGGUGCCUCGUAAAUUGCCAGACACAUUAAGGAUUGACAGAUUGAGAGCUCUUUCUUGAUCAUGUGGGUGGUGGUGCAUGGCCGUUCUUAGUUGGUGGAGUGAUUUGUCUGCUUAAUUGCGAUAACGAACGAGACCUUAACCUGCUAAAUAGCCAGGCCAGCUUCGGCUGGUCGCCGGCUUCUUAGAGGGACUAUCGGCUCAAGCCGAUGGAAGUUUGAGGCAAUAACAGGUCUGUGAUGCCCUUAGAUGCUCUGGGCCGCACGCGCGCUACACUGACAGAGCCAACGAGUAAAUCACCUUGGCCGGAAGGUCUGGGUAAUCUUGUUAAACUCUGUCGUGCUGGGGAUAGAGCAUUGCAAUUAUUGCUCUUCAACGAGGAAUGCCUAGUAAGCGCAAGUCAUCAGCUUGCGUUGAUUACGUCCCUGCCCUUUGUACACACCGCCCGUCGCUACUACCGAUUGAAUGGCUCAGUGAGGCCUUCGGACUGGCUCAGGGAGGUCGGCAACGACCACCCAGAGCCGGAAAGUCCGUC